rnacentral:rRNA from 1 species
UGAGUACAGUGGCGCACGGGUGAGUAACACGUGACUAACCUACCCUCGAGCGGGGAAUAACCAAGGGAAACCUUGGCUAAUACCGCAUAAUACCUACGGGUCAAAGGAGUAAUCCACUUGAGGAGGGGGUCGCGGCCGAUUAGCUAGUUGGCGGGGUAAUGGCCCACCAAGGCAGUGAUCGGUAUCCGGCCUGAGAGGGCGCACGGACACACUGGAACUGAAACACGGUCCAGACUCCUACGGGAGGCAGCAGUGGGGAAUUUUGCGCAAUGGGGGAAACCCUGACGCAGCAACGCCGCGUGGAGGAUGAAGUCCCUUGGGACGUAAACUCCUUUCGAUCGGGACGAUUAUGACGGUACCGGAAGAAGAAGCCCCGGCUAACUUCGUGCCAGCAGCCGCGGUAAUACGAGGGGGGCAAGCGUUGUUCGGAAUUAUUGGGCGUAAAGGGAGUGUAGGCGGUUUGGUAAGUCUCGUGUGAAAUCUUCAGGCUCAACCUGAAGUCUGCACGAGAAACUGCCGAGCUUGAGUAUGGGAGAGGUGAGUGGGAAUUCCUGGUGUAGCGGUGAAAUGCGUAGAUAUCAGGAGGAACACCUGUGGCGAAAGCGGCUCACUGGACCAUAACUGACGCUGAGACUCGAAAGCUAGGGGAGCAAACAGGAUUAGAUACCCUGGUAGUCCUAGCCCUAAACGAUGACUGCUUGAUGUGGCGGGUACCCAAUCCUGCCGUGUCGAAGCUAACGCGUUAAGCAGUCCGCCUGGGGGAGUACGGUCGCAAGGCUGAAACUCAAACGGAAUUGACGGGGGCCCGCACAAGCGGUGGAGCAUGUGGUUUAAUUCGACGCAACGCGAAGAACCUUACCUGGGCUCGAAAUGUACAGGAAUCCAGUGGAAACAUUGGCGUCCCGCAAGGGACCUGUAUAUAGGUGCUGCAUGGCUGUCGUCAGCUCGUGUCGUGAGAUGUUGGGUUAAGUCCCGCAACGAGCGCAACCCUUACCCCCAGUUGCCAUCAUUUAGUUGGGCACUCUGGUGGAACCGCCUCGGAUAACGGGGAGGAAGGUGGGGAUGACGUCAAGUCCUCAUGGCCUUUAUGUCCAGGGCUACACACGUGCUACAAUGGCCGGUACAAACCGCUGCAAACCCGCGAGGGGGAGCUAAUCGGAAAAAGCCGGCCUCAGUUCGGAUCGCAGUCUGC